rnacentral:rRNA from 1 species
ACGACAUAGGAUGCCCGCGGUAGGUGUUUGGCGGACGGGUCGAGUAACACGUGGGUAACCUGCCUGUAAGACUGGGAUAACUCCGGGAAACCGGAGCUAAUACCGGAUAGUUCCUUGAACCGCAUGGUUCAAGGAUGAAAGACGGUUUCGGCUGUCACUUACAGAUGGACCCGCGGCGCAUUAGCUAGUUGGUGGGGUAAUGGCUCACCAAGGCGACGAUGCGUAGCCGACCUGAGAGGGUGAUCGGCCACACUGGGACUGAGACACGGCCCAGACUCCUACGGGAGGCAGCAGUAGGGAAUCUUCCGCAAUGGACGAAAGUCUGACGGAGCAACGCCGCGUGAGUGAUGAAGGUUUUCGGAUCGUAAAGCUCUGUUGUUAGGGAAGAACAAGUGCGAGAGUAACUGCUCGCACCUUGACGGUACCUAACCAGAAAGCCACGGCUAACUACGUGCCAGCAGCCGCGGUAAUACGUAGGUGGCAAGCGUUGUCCGGAAUUAUUGGGCGUAAAGGGCUCGCAGGCGGUUUCUUAAGUCUGAUGUGAAAGCCCCCGGCUCAACCGGGGAGGGUCAUUGGAAACUGGGAAACUUGAGUGCAGAAGAGGAGAGUGGAAUUCCACGUGUAGCGGUGAAAUGCGUAGAGAUGUGGAGGAACACCAGUGGCGAAGGCGACUCUCUGGUCUGUAACUGACGCUGAGGAGCGAAAGCGUGGGGAGCGAACAGGAUUAGAUACCCUGGUAGUCCACGCCGUAAACGAUGAGUGCUAAGUGUUAGGGGGGUUUCCGCCCCUUAGUGCUGCAGCUAACGCAUUAAGCACUCCGCCUGGGGAGUACGGUCGCAAGACUGAAACUCAAAGG